rnacentral:lncRNA from 1 species
AUUUAUUAAUUUAAUUUAAUUUAACCUUUCUGCCUUGUCACUGAAAUUACGUCUGUUUGCCUUUCUGAUGUAAAAUAAUAUAAAAGAGCUAAGACAAAAUGUGAUCAAAAUAUGAUCAAUCUUACAAAUGUUUAGCGAUAAGCAUUGUAUCUGUGUUUCAACAUUUAUAGUAGAAGUCUUUAAAAUUUCAUAAUUAUUGAAUCCUUACUUCAAUAAUCUUCAGCAGACUGCCAGUAACUGUUGCCUUCAGUAGCUCUAUGGAGGUUGUGCUUCAGAAUUCAAGAGAUGGGAUGGAUUUGGAGGUAGUGAAGAAGGUAGUACUGCAGGAGACUUGAAGGAACCCAAAAAUGAAGGUGGUCAUAGCCUUUACUGAAAAUGAGGAGGCAGCAGGCUCUUAUCUGAUGUCAAACUCCCUUUCCAGACUUUGACAAGCACCAGGAGCUGCAUCAAAACCAUCAGAGUGAGUUUCUGCAGAAGGUUGUUCAACUAGAAAUGAAAUCUGUAAUUAAUGUCUUCUGCACAGGGAAAUAGCAGCCAGAGUGAGCUGAGAGUGAGACCAGGCAGGAGGAAACUGCAGAGCUCAGGGAAAUGAGGUGCUGUACAUUUUAAGCAUACAUGCAAAUUACAGGCACUGUAAUAAUGGCUACUGAGGCUGCUGUCCCAUUAGAGAGAACUAUCGUAUAGUGUUUUCAAAAUUGUCCCUGUACCAAGAGGAAUCAAGCUUAGUUUGUCACUUGUAUGUUUAUCUUGGAGGUAAUAUACAGCUUAGCAUUUGGUGGGUUCUGGACAUGUAGUUGAAGACACAAAAUCAUCAGUGUUAACCAGGGUUUAAAUUACAGUGAAAGAGAUCAUCCUGUGUUUCCCUGUGGACAGUUGCCAACCAAGACACACUUGAAGAAUAUUUUGACCCUCUAAUGCUCUGUGGUGAACAGGAGAGAUUGCUCCUAAAUGUCAUCCCUCACCAAUUAGAGUCAGUAGCCUGAGAAAAGGCAGCUCAAGCCCAUGGCUUAUUGUUUUGCUCAGGCCUUUUUGAAAAUAAUGAGAAGAAAUGACCAAGUUUGAAAAGUGCCCUCUUGGUAAACAGCCUGUCCCCUAUCAGGAUUUGUAGCUAUGACAGAUGCUCCCUCCACGUUCCUGCUGCAGCUUCAUACGUAUGUGGUUG